ACCAUGCGCAGCUUACCAUGCAGUCGACGGAAGGCCCUUCGGGGUACUCGAGUGGCGAACGGGUGAGUAACACGUGGGUGAUCUGCCCUGCACUUUGGGAUAAGCCUGGGAAACUGGGUCUAAUACCGAAUACACCCUUCUGGCUGCAUGGUCUGGUUGGGGAAAGCUUUUGCGGUGUGGGAUGGGCCCGCGGCCUAUCAGCUUGUUGGUGAGGUUACGGCUCACCAAGGCGACGACGGGUAGCCGGCCUGAGAGGGUGACCGGCCACACUGGGACUGAGAUACGGCCCAGACUCCUACGGGAGGCAGCAGUGGGGAAUAUUGCACAAUGGGCGCAAGCCUGAUGCAGCGACGCCGCGUGAGGGAUGACGGCCUUCGGGUUGUAAACCUCUUUCGCCAGGGACGAAGCGCAAGUGACGGUACCUGGAGAAGAAGGACCGGCCAACUACGUGCCAGCAGCCGCGGUAAUACGUAGGGUCCGAGCGUUGUCCGGGAAUUACUGGGCGUAAAGAGCUCGUAGGUGGUUUGUCGCGUUGUUCGUGAAAACUCACAGCUCAACUGUGGGCGUGCGGGCGAUACGGGCAGACUGGAGUACUGCAGGGGAGACUGGAAUUCCUGGUGUAGCGGUGGAAUGCGCAGAUAUCAGGAGGAACACCGGUGGCGAAGGCGGGUCUCUGGGCAGUAACUGACGCUGAGGAGCGAAAGCGUGGGGAGCGAACAGGAUUAGAUACCCUGGUAGUCCACGCCGUAAACGGUGGGUACUAGGUGUGGGUUUCCUUCCUUGGGAUCCGUGCCGUAGCUAACGCAUUAAGUACCCCGCCUGGGGAGUACGGCCGCAAGGCUAAAACUCAAAGAAAUUGACGGGGGCCCGCACAAGCGGCGGAGCAUGUGGAUUAAUUCGAUGCAACGCGAAGAACCUUACCUGGGUUUGACAUGCACAGGACGUGCCUAGAGAUAGGUAUUCCCUUGUGGCCUGUGUGCAGGUGGUGCAUGGCUGUCGUCAGCUCGUGUCGUGAGAUGUUGGGUUAAGUCCCGCAACGAGCGCAACCCUUAUCUUAUGUUGCCAGCGCGUAAUGGCGGGGACUCGUGAGAGACUGCCGGGGUCAACUCGGAGGAAGGUGGGGAUGACGUCAAGUCAUCAUGCCCCUUAUGUCCAGGGCUUCACACAUGCUACAAUGGCCGGUACAAAGGGCUGCGAUGCCGUGAGGUGGAGCGAAUCCUUUCAAAGCCGGUCUCAGUUCGGAUCGGGGUCUGCAACUCGACCCCGUGAAGUCGGAGUCGCUAGUAAUCGCAGAUCAGCAACGCUGCGGUGAAUACGUUCCCGGGCCUUGUACACACCGCCCGUCACGUCAUGAAAGUCGGUAACACCCGAAGCCGGUGGCCUAACCCCUUGUGGGAGGGAGCCGUCGAAGGUGAUCGUCAG
rnacentral:rRNA from 1 species